UACGAAGGGGGCUAGCGUUGUUCGGAAUUACUGGGCGUAAAGCGCACGUAGGCGGACUAUUAAGUCAGGGGUGAAAUCCCGGGGCUCAACCCCGGAACUGCCUUUGAUACUGGUAGUCUCGAGUCCGGAAGAGGUGAGUGGAAUUCCGAGUGUAGAGGUGAAAUUCGUAGAUAUUCGGAGGAACACCAGUGGCGAAGGCGGCUCACUGAUCCGGUACUGACGCUGAGGUGCGAAAGCGUGGGGAGCAAACAGG
rnacentral:rRNA from 1 species